rnacentral:rRNA from 1 species
GCGUGAGUGAUGAAGGCCUUCGGGUUGUAAAGCUCUUUCGCACACGACGAUGAUGACGGUAGUGUGAGAAGAAGCCCCGGCUAACUUCGUGCCAGCAGCCGCGGUAAUACGAAGGGGGCUAGCGUUGUUCGGAAUUACUGGGCGUAAAGGGCGCGUAGGCGGCUUUGUCAGUCAGGCGUGAAAGCCCCGGGCUUAACCUGGGAACUGCGCUUGAUACUGCAAGGCUUGAGUACCGGAGAGGUAGGUGGAAUUCCCAGUGUAGAGGUGAAAUUCGU